UUUCUGUGAUGAAUCAAACUAGCUCAUUAUGAUUAACAAGGAAAAUACAGGAACGCCUGGGAAAC
ensembl:snoRNA SNORD29 Small nucleolar RNA SNORD29